rnacentral:rRNA from 1 species
AUUGAACGCUGGCGGCAGGCCUAACACAUGCAAGUCGAGCGAGCGGCGGACGGGUGAGUAAUGUAUGGGGACUGCCCGAUAGAGGGGGAUAACUACUGGAAACGGUGGCUAAUACCGCAUACUAUCGGAUAACCCAUAUGGGAUUAGCUAGUCGGUGGGGUAAAGGCUCCCCUAGGCGGCGAUCUCUAGCUGGUCUGAGAGGAUGAUGAGCCAGACUGGGACUGAGACACGGCCCAGCCGGCUACGGAGGCAGGAGUGGGAAAUAUUGCACAAUGGGCGCAAACCUGAUGACGACAUGCGGCGUGUAUGAAGAAGACCUUAGGGUUGUAAAGUACUGUCAGCGGGGAGGCGUUACCCGCAGAAGAAGCACCGGCUAACUCCGUGCCAGCAGCCGCGGUAAUUC